AUUGAACGCUGGCGGCAUGCCUUACACAUGCAAGUCGAACGGUAACAGGUCUUCGGAUGCUGACGAGUGGCGAACGGGUGAGUAAUACAUCGGAACGUGCCUAGUAGUGGGGGAUAACUACUCGAAAGAGUGGCUAAUACCGCAUGAGAUCUACGGAUGAAAGCAGGGGAUCGCAAGACCUUGUGCUACUAGAGCGGCCGAUGGCAGAUUAGGUAGUUGGUGGGAUAAAAGCUUACCAAGCCGACGAUCUGUAGCUGGUCUGAGGGGACGAUCAGCCACACUGGGACUGAGACACGGCACAGACUCCUACGGGAGGCAGCAGUGGGGAAUUUUGGACAAUGGGCGAAAGCCGGAUCCAGCAAUGCCGCGUGCAGGAUGAAGGCCUUCGGGUUGUAAACUGCUUUUGUACGGAACGAAGAGCCGCGGGUUGAUACCCUGGGGUCAUGACGGUACCGUAAGAAUAAGCACCGGCUAACUACGUGCCAGCCGCCGCGGUAA
rnacentral:rRNA from 1 species